UACGUAGGUGGCAAGCGUUAUCCGGAAUUAUUGGGCGUAAAGAGCGCGCAGGCGGUUCUUUAAGUCUGAUGUGAAAGCCCACGGCUCAACCGUGGAGGGUCAUUGGAAACUGGGGAACUUGAGUGCAGAAGAGGAAAGUGGAAUUCCAUGUGUAGCGGUGAAAUGCGUAGAGAUGUGGAGGAACACCAGUGGCGAAGGCGACACGCUGGGCCUGACCUGACGCUGAGAGGCGAAAGCAUGGGGAGCGAACGGGAUUAGAUACCCCU
rnacentral:rRNA from 1 species